UACGGAGGGGGCUAGCGUUGUUCGGAAUUACUGGGCGUAAAGCGUGCGCAGGCGGUUUUGUAAGUCUGUCGUGAAAGCCCCGGGCUCAACCUGGGAAUUGCGUUGGAGACUGCAAGGCUAGAAUCUGGCAGAGGGGGGUAGAAUUCCACGUGUAGCAGUGAAAUGCGUAGAGAUGUGGAGGAACACCGAUGGCGAAGGCAGCCCCCUGGGUCAAGAUUGACGCUCAUGCACGAAAGCGUGGGGAGCAAACAGG
rnacentral:rRNA from 1 species